rnacentral:rRNA from 1 species
UACAGAGGUGCCGAGCGCUGGGCGGAAUCACUGGGCUUAAAGCGUGUGUAGGCGGACGUCUAAGUACCUUGUGAAAUCCCACGGCUCAACCGUGGAACUGCUUGGCAUACUGGCGGUCUUGAGCAACCUAGGGGCGAGCGGAACAAAUGGUGGAGCGGUGAAAUGCGUAGAUAUCAUUUGGAACGCCAAUGGUGAAAACAGCUUGCUGGGGGUUUGCUGACGCUGAGACACGAAAGCCAGGGGAGCAAACGGG